GUCCCCUGCUGGAGCUGCUCCCCCCGCGACCCGAUACCGGAUAAGCGGACGAAGAUGGAUGGAUGGUAAAUUAUCGGGAAUCGACAAAUCAGUCAUUUAUAAAUUUACAGGUACUUAAAUGUAGUGAACUUGUAGACCUUAAAAUAGCAUCUCUAAUGUACAAAGUAUUUAAUAGUAUGUUGCCAUAAAAAAUUUGAACUAAACUAAACUCCCAAGAUAGGAACCUAUUCUGAUAAGUAAUGUGUAUCAAGGCAAAUUAAACAGCCAGAACAAAGACCACAUAACAAUAUUCAAAAUGUCAUCCUCUCUCAUAUAACAGUAAUAUACCACACAGCCCACGUUCAAGGCUCAAGUUCAUAUCCUUUCAUCACAUUACACAUGUACAUUUGUAACUUGCUGUCCCAAUAUUUCUGGAAGUAUACUGUUUCUAAAAAAGCACUCAACUUUAGGAAUCACAUCAUCCCAAACUUCAACAUCAGGCAAAAUCCUUUCAACAAAAAUGUUAUUACGGUUCCACACAACAAAGUCACAGUACUCAGCAUCUACAAUGUGAAGCUGUGCGUGAACUUGGUAGUAGUAGUUAUGACUCCGGUCCAGCCUGACAUUAUCCCCAUCAUUGAUGAGGCAGAAGCCCUUUCCCCCAGCACACAAGUGCAGAUUGGCUUCAUCUUGGUGAGAGUGUGGGAACUAAAAUCACAGUGAGAAGAACAUGUGAACAAUAGAUUAGCAAAGAUAUUUUCUGCCUUUUUGCUCAGUUGAGGACUUGAGACUAUACUCAGACUCAAGAUUUAGGGACUUUACUACAACAGAGACUGUAAUAUUAUCCUAAUCUCGCAGAUGCCAGUUCACUGACAGUCACAAGCGACAAUCCCAUCAGUGGAGGACCCCAUGUAUGGCCACUUGGGGUUCAGCCAGAGACCACUGUCCAUACAGGAGAAGCCUGCAUGCUCAUGACCCAUUAGCUUCUCAUACACUCCUCUGGCUUGUGCUUCAUGUUUGCAUCCAUAACUGUACACAGUAGACAUGCAAAACAUUAAAAGGAAAUUAUUACUUAGUAUUGGAUGUGUAGAGCCAGUUCAGUGAUUUAAAUGUCAUUACCCUAACCACUAUACUUAGUUCUACUCCUGCAUAACCCCAGCCUUAUAACCCUAUAACUAAUGUUGACCUUUCAGGGCUGUCCAUACCAUGAAUUAACUAUGAAAAAACUAAACAUUUGUUCUAACUGAAGAGGGCCUACAGUAGAUGGCAGAGUAUGGACCACAGAUUUAUAGUUGUGUUAUGGACUCUCCUUCCACUUCAUAGAACACUUUCUUAGUUACAGUUCUUAAUGUGGACAGCCUCAUACUAUACCCCAAAUCUUACCUCUGCCUUACCCUAAUUCAAACCCUAAAUACCUUGUAGCGGCUGUGGUGAACCUAUAUGCUUCUGGGUAGCAUAUGACCUUGAUCAAUCUCUUGGAUGGUUGCUGGGGGUUGGUUUUAAGAACUUUAUUCAGCUUAGAGGCAGUUAUGCGUCCAGCUCUUUGCCUGAACCAAAUCUUGCUUGUACUCUGACUUUGAGUUGCCCUCUCUACAGCCUGGACCUGGGACAGGGUGAGCUCUUUGAGCUGGAAAUCCUGGCAUAGCUCUCCAAGCUCUUUGGGGGUUAGCUGCAGAGUCUCUGGUGUUCUGUAUUCAAGAACAGUUUUAGGAAGCAUGCUAGAUAAAGUAAAAGUAACACAAAAAAGAUCAUUAAGUCCACAUUUCUGUGGUCCAUAGCAUAUCUAUAUGCAGUAUAAAUCAUGUCCUGAUGACUUAACCCAAGCAAAGACAUAACCGAAGGGGCACAAUAUAAACAUGAAUUUAUUAACAUCAAUACUUAGCCUACUGUUACACAGUUACCCAAAAAUAACAUUCUCUGUCCCACAUUUGGUUUGCUGUGAACGUGUCACCCUACCUUUUUUACAUGUGAUGGCAUCAGCCACUUGCACUGCUCUGUUGUGCAGGAAGCUGUGUCUUGCAUCUUUACCCCGGUUUCAAUGUAAAAAAGUACUGCCCCUACAUGAGAACACAAUUCUGAUAGUCUGUGAAUAGAAUGACAUUUUUUUUAAAUCUCAAAUGCAAUAUACACCAGGGGCAAAGUGCACAUUUGUGCAUCAAUACAUUUUGAUGAUGUGCAAUAUAGCCUACUUAUACUAAUAUGGACUUUACAUUAAUGAACAUGUUUAUCCCACACUGGUUCUGAAGUCCACUGGCAGUAUGCUAGCAGUAGGUCUUCAGAGGUGUUUCGUUUGAUUUCUGAGAGUGGUUUACCUUGAAACAUAAACAACUGUCAGUCUAAUGGCUAAUGGCGUCGUUAAGUUGUGUUGCAUGUUUGUUGACAUUAUAGCCGCUACUGCUAGCAUCUUAACGCAUAAAACAAUAUAAGAACAAACAAUCACCCUGGCGAAGACCAAACGAUGAUCAUCUUGGAGCCCUUUGGUACCGAGGUGUUAUGGGUUGCUGUCUCUCCACCCUGAGUUGGGUGGUUUUGUUUUCCCUGUUUGUCUGUGUUCUGUGUUUUUCCACCUGGAGUGCUGGAGGAGUGUCCAGAAGGAAGUAGGUCAAGGGGCGUGGCCGAUCCAACACUGCAUUGCCGGUUUUCACAGCUGCAGCUCAUCUUCAUGAUUCACCCCUGCAAUACUUAAACCUGGGCUGAUCACCUUGUUGGUGCCAGUUUCUUAUCUACAACCCAUGUGCUGCCUCCUCUGCUUUGCCUGCCUGCUUCAAGCCCCACCAUCCAGCCUCUGUCUCCAACUUGGGAAACCCUCCAUGUUCUCGUCUCUGCCUGUUCCCCUCGUGUCCCAUAAAGACCUGGAUUCUUCCCUGUCGGCUCGCCACAAGCCUCAGACCAGCCAGGAGUUUCACCACCCUGACACUACCUACAGUGAUUCUCUGAGUACACUCUGCUACAUUAAACCUUUUUAAACUGC